GGGCAGAGAUCAAACGCCAAAUGACUCUGCCUCUCGUUGCCUGGUACCACCGCUUUUGGUCUCCUCGCGCGAGGCAUCACAUACAAUCCAUUUCUUCUAUUCAGUUCGAUUGACUUACAUUUUUUCGGAAGGAAAUGUUGUCUCGGAAGCUAGUUCUCAGAUCUGUUUGGUUGGCUGUUAUCUCCGAGGAGAAGAGAACUGAAAAAGCGGGACUCCAAGCUCAACUAUUCCGGUGCCUGCGAAUUACUAGCAGACUGCUGGAUUAGUUUACUGUAGUUGAGCAGUGGAGAUAUGAGGUUUGCCAUUUCAUGAAAAAGCCUUUGAGGUGGAGAUUGCUCAAGGAUCCAAGAUUCAUGAUCUCAUGAUUGUUGUUUUGAAUUGUUCUUUCAGCAUGUGCCAGAUAAAUACAAGGUAUAGUGUUUCGACAGUGCAGUCUAUGAUAUUGGGAUGAAACGUUGGUUGAUAGUGACUAGGUCAAAAGACGGAUAGCAUGGCCAAUAGACAAGUGAGAGAUUUUAUCUAUGAUCUAUUGAUAUCUCACUCAGUGGUUUUCAUUUUAUUUGUAGAGGCACGCAUCAUGCUCUUGGUCUUUCAAUUAAUGAUGCAAAUUUUAGGCAUCUACAUUCAUGGAGUGUCACGUUGAUCAAAGCAAAGGAUUCCUUGCACUUAUCGGUCAGGUAUGUGUACAUCACUUCUGGAGUUUGAAUAGAUAACUGUAAGAUUUAAACCAUAAAAUGUAUAAUUUGAAUCCACUAAAUGUAACGUAGAACUUUAUGUGAA